rfam:Osedax symbiont Rs1 5221_218, whole genome shotgun sequence.
CGCUCAAAUGGGUAACUGAUUGAGUGAUUAAGUAGAAGUCAGCAGAUGGCAUACGAAGACAUGGAUGUCGAAGGUA